CCUCGGGUGGCUGCAGUGGGGAAUAUUGCGCCAUGGGCGAAAGCCUGACGCAGCGACGCCGCGUGGGUGAUGAAGGCCUUCGGGUUGUAAAGCCCUGUCGGGUGGAACGAACGAUCUGGCGGCGAAUAACCGCCGGGUGUGACGGUACCACCGAAGGAAGCCCCGGCUAACUACGUGCCAGCAGCCGCGGUAAGACGUAGGGGGCGAGCGUUGUGCGGAUUUACUGGGCGUGAAGAGCGCGGACGCGGCUGAAAUCCCUCGGCUUAACCGAGGUCCCGCAUCCGAUACUGUCUGGCUCGGGUCUAGGAGAGGAAAGCGGAAUUCCCAGUGUAGCGGUGAAAUGCGUAGAGAUUGGGAGGAACACCGGUGGCGAAGGCGGCUUUCCGGACUAGUACUGACGCUGAGGCGCGAAAGCUAGGGGAGCGAACGGGAUUAGAUACCCCGGUAGUC
rnacentral:rRNA from 1 species